CAAGUCGAGCGGCAGCGACAACAUUGAACCUUCGGGGGAUUUGUUGGGCGGCGAGCGGCGGACGGGUGAGUAAUGCCUGGGAAAUUGCCCUGAUGUGGGGGAUAACCAUUGGAAACGAUGGCUAAUACCGCAUGAUAGCUUCGGCUCAAAGAGGGGGACCUUCGGGCCUCUCGCGUCAGGAUAUGCCCAGGUGGGAUUAGCUAGUUGGUGAGGUAAGGGCUCACCAAGGCGACGAUCCCUAGCUGGUCUGAGAGGAUGAUCAGCCACACUGGAACUGAGACACGGUCCAGACUCCUACGGGAGGCAGCAGUGGGGAAUAUUGCACAAUGGGCGCAAGCCUGAUGCAGCCAUGCCGCGUGUAUGAAGAAGGCCUUCGGGUUGUAAAGUACUUUCAGCAGUGAGGAAGGGGGUAUCGUUAAUAGCGGUACUCUUUGACGUUAGCUGCAGAAGAAGCACCGGCUAACUCCGUGCCAGCAGCCGCGGUAAUACGGAGGGUGCGAGCGUUAAUCGGAAUUACUGGGCGUAAAGCGCAUGCAGGUGGUUUGUUAAGUCAGAUGUGAAAGCCCGGGGCUCAACCUCGGAAUUGCAUUUGAAACUGGCAGGCUAGAGUACUGUAGAGGGGGGUAGAAUUUCAGGUGUAGCGGUGAAAUGCGUAGAGAUCUGAAGGAAUACCGGUGGCGAAGGCGGCCCCCUGGACAGAUACUGACACUCAGAUGCGAAAGCGUGGGGAGCAAACAGGAUUAGACACCCUGGUAGUCCACGCCGUAAACGAUGUCUACUUGGAGGUUGUGGCCUUGAGCCGUGGCUUUCGGAGCUAACGCGUUAAGUAGACCGCCUGGGGAGUACGGUCGCAAGAUUAAAACUCAAAUGAAUUGACGG
rnacentral:rRNA from 1 species